rnacentral:lncRNA from 1 species
AAUCAGGCCUUUCCCAUCCAGAGUGGUGGACAACCAAACUUUUUAGUAGGAUUUGAAGUUUUGUUCACUAGGAUUACCCGAUGACUGCAACGCUAACAAUUAUUUAAAGACAAGUAAAAUCUGAUCAUUCUACCAUCCGAAGAUUAUUACACGGUUAGAAUUACUGAUAUUUUGAAUCCUGGUGUUUCUUGAUGAUUUCAUUUGAGAAUGCUGCCUUGAAAAACUGUUGCCUCUUGAGAAGAUUCAGGAGUCCUGUAGUAGAGAACAAGGAGGAUGAAGAUAAAUCCUAGAAGGAGGGAUUUCCAGUCUGGCUUGUUUGACAUACAACGUCCUCUAAAUUGAAAAAGGCAUCUUGUACAUGAACAGAUAUUUAUAUUGUCCUAGAAGUGUGAAGAUAAGCAGAUUUCAGCUUUUAACAUGAACACAUUUGUUGAGAGAGGAUAAUAGAUAUUCUACAGCUAGACAUCAAGAUUUCUGCAGAGACAUUUAAAUCCGGCUUACGGAGAAAGGCCUGGAGAGAACCCAAAAGGCUGGGCCACAGGAGAAGUCACCCUCUCUGCCUGUCCUGGAGCUUGUACCUGGCUCGUCUCCUGUCUUUGGACUCCUCCGACUUUACCAUCAGCUUUCAAGUGUUCACCUUGCCGGCUGAAGAUCUUAGGACCUUUCAGCCUCCGUGACCACGACACCCAAACAGGCUUGCCAAUGGAAUUCCUAGAAAAGCCUUGGCGUUGGAGGCAGAGCAAGACGGCGGAGGAGUAAGAGGUCGCGCUCACCGUCUCCCACAAACACAUCGAAAAAACACAUCUACGUGUAAAAGGACUUGCACAGAACAUCAACUGGAUGCUGGCAGAAGAGCUUAAACUUCCAAAAAGGGCAAGAAACUCUUACAUAACUGGGUAGAACAAAAGCAAAUAAGAGAGAGAAAGAAAAGGAAUCAAGAGGGGACUAGCAUUCCUGAGGGGGGGCAGUGAAGGAGAAAAGGAACCGUCAUCCUGGGAAGCCACCUAACUGGCAGAAAGAUCAGCCGAGUCGGAAGGACCUCAAAGUCGCCGAGAAAAGUGCAGCAGCUGCACUGAGGACAGCAAAGCAGAGGGAGAGCCACACAGAUCAUCUGCACCACCAGCCUGGACACCACAGCCUGAGACGCUCGGGUGGGGAUUGGGCACUGAGACGCAGGCUCCAGAGGUCAGUCCCAGGGAGAGGACUGGGGUUGGUGGUGUGGAGACAGCCUGAGGGGCUAAGUGUGAUGCGGUGCCUACCAAGCACCAUAUGCUGUCACUUUCACUCCCCUGGGAACACACUCACCCUGCAGUUGCCACUGCCAAAUGCUCUGGGAAGUGCCCAGACACUUGGCCACUGUCCCUUCCCAAGAUGCUACAACUAGGAGAAGCUGGUGCAGCACCUCCUGCGUGGGCUAAGUGGGACAGGGUGCUUCUUGCAUGGUCUGCAGGUGGCAGGAGCAAACCACUACAGUUACUCCUGACUCCAGAGGUGGGCAUGGCCCACCGCCACUGGGGAUACCUGAACAAAAAUCACUUGCGUCCCCAACCACCUCAGAGGGCACCACAGAGAAGGACAUUGCAGCAGAACACCACCUGUUGUUGCUGUCGCUCCCCUGGGAGCACACCUGCCCUGCUACUGCCACUGUCAAACACUCUGGGCAAUGCCCAAACAGUUGAUCAUUGUCCCUUCCCAGGAACCUGCACCUAGGAGAAGCUUGUGCAACACUUCCUGAGGGGACUAAGCAGGAUGAGGUGCUUCUUGCAUGGUCUACAGGAGGUGGGUGCAAACCACUGCAGUUAUCUCUGGCUCCAGAGGUGGGAGUUGACCGCCACCACUAGGGGUCCGUGAACAGGUACCACUUGCAGCCCCAGUCACCUCAAGGGUACCACAGAGAAAGGGCAUUGUGACCAAACACCACCUGUUGGUGCUCCUGCACCCCUUGGAACACACCAGCUGUUGCCACUGCUGAAUGCUCCGGGCAGUACCCACACAACUGAUUUCUGUCACUUCCCAGAAUCCUGCAACUAGGAAAAGCCUGUGCAGCACCUCCUAUGUGGGCUAAGUAAGGUGGGUUAUUUCAUGCAUGGUCUACAGGUUGUGGAGGCAAACCACCGCAGCUAUCAAUGACUCCAGAGACAGGCAUGGCCCGCUACCACUAAGGGUCCCUGAACAAGUACCACAUGUGCUUCCAAUCAUCUCAGAGGAGGGCACUGCAAUUGAACACUAACUGUUGUUGCUCUCACUCCCCUGGGAACUCACUCACCCUGCUGCUGCUACUGCCAAAUGCUCUGGUCACCUUGUAGAUCUGCCUAGAGCUCAGUACUACUUCCCAGGGCCCUGCAACUAGGAGGAGCAUGUGCCACCUUCCUGCAGGUCCUUGCUGCUGUUGAGAACCCAGUGACCAGGCACUGUCUGCUGGCCCUACCCAUUGCCUCCUUCUCACUGAAAACACACUGAGCAUCCUGGGGAUAACAGCCUGCUCACGUUGAAUAAAGAGACAGCAAAUAUUCAAACUCCCACACCAAAAAUAAAGACUUAUCCCCCCCCCCCAAAAGAAUAUAAAGGGGUGCUCUGGCAUAGAAGUAGCCUUACAAGCAUACAGUUUGGCUUCCCCAAGCUUACAUAAAAAGAAAAACAUAAGCAAGAUGAAGAAGCUCAGAAACCAUUCCCAGUUAAAGGAAUAGAAGAAUUCACUUAAAGCAGUCAAUAAUGAAAGAGAUCUCUGCAGUCUGACAGACAUUGAGUUCAAAAGGGAGACAGUGAAAAUACUGAAGGAAUUAAGGCUGGGUAUCAAGGAAUUAAGAGAAGCUACAAACAGUAAUGCAGAUUCCCUUAGAAGAGAACUAGAAAAUAUAAGGAAGAGCCAAGAAAAAUUAGAAAAUUCAUUUGCAGAGAUGCAAACUCAGUUAAAGGCAAUAAAGAGCAGAAUGACUAAUGGAGAGGAACAAAUUAGUGACGUGGAAGAUAGAAUAAUGGAAAUCACCCAAUCAGGACAGCCGACAGAAAAUCAAAUGAAGAAACAUGAAAACAAUAUAAAAGAUCUAUGGGAUAAUAUAAAGUGGGCCAAUCUAUGCAUAAUAGGAAUUACAGAAGGAGAAGAAAAAGAAAAGGGGAUUUAAAAAAUAUAUUUGAGGAAAUUAUCUCUGAAAAUUUUCCAAAUCUAAAGGAAACUGAUAUCAAGACAUAGGAAAAACAGAGGGCCCCCCAAAGACAUAAUAAAAAUGGCAAAAGAUAAAGAGAGGAUCCUAAAGUCAACAAGAGAAAAGCAAAGCAUUAAUUAUAAGGGAACCCCCCCCCAUAAGGCUAUCAGCAGAUUUCUCUACAGAAACAUUACAGGCCAGAAGGAAGUGGCAAGAUAUAUUUAAAGUGCUGAAAGGAAGAAAUUUGCAACCUAGAAUACUCUAUCCAGCAAGAAUAUCAUUUAAAAUAGAAGGGGAAAUAAAGAAUUUCUCCAACAAACAAAAGAUAAAAGAGUACAGCAAUACUAAACCCAUUCUAAAGAUAUACUGAAAGGGCGUCUCUAAAUGAAAGAAGAAGAAGAAAUAGAAUGGAGGAAACCACAAUUGGAAAGCAAUCACUUAAAUAAGCCAGCAUACAGAUCUAAACAUGAAGAUGUUAAAAUAAAUAAAUAAUAAAAGACAUCAAAAUCAUACAAUGUGGGGAAGGAGAGUACGAAAAUAUAGAUUUUUUUUAUUUUAUUUUAAUGUUGUGUCUGAGUCCAUAUGACUAUUAGGCUAAAGCAGGCAGAUAUAAGAAGGGGUUAACAUACUUAAAAAACAGGGCAACCACAAAUCAAAACUGAGCAUUACAGUCACAAAAACCAAAAAGAAAAGUACUCAAGCAUAAAAUAAAUGGAAACCAUCCC